AGAGAGAGAGCAAUAUGAAAAGGACACUAAGGAAAGGCUAUUAGAUGAUUUAAUCGACAUUGGAAGAAUAUUUAACAGCUCCAUGAAAAACAAUAUAUAUAUAUAUAUAAGAGAGAGAGAGAGAGAGAGAGCAAUAUGAAAAGGACACUAAGGAAAGGCUAUUAGAUGAUUUAAUCGACAUUGGAAGAAAAUUUAACAGCUCCAUGAAAAACAAAAUAUAUAUAUAAGAGAGAGAGAGAGAGAGAGAGAGCAGUUUGAAAAGGACACUAAGGAAAGCCUAUUAGAUGAUUUAAUCGUCAUUGGAAGAAAAUUUAACAGCUCCAUGAAAAACAAUAUACAUAUAUAUAUAUAUAAAAGAGAGAGAGAGAGAGAGAGAGAGAGAGAGAGAGAGAGAGCAAUAUGAAAAGGACACUUAGGAAGGGGUAUUAGAUGAUUUAAUCGACAUUAGAAGAGAAUUUAACAGCUCCAUGAAAAACAAUAUAUAUAUAUAUAAGAGAGAGAGAGAGAGAGAGAGAGAGAGAGAGAGAGCAAUAUGAAAAGGACACUAAGGGAAGGCUAUUAGAUGAUUUAAUCGACAUUGGAAGAAAAUUUAACAGCUCCAUGAAAAACAAAAUAUAUAUAAAAGAGAGAGAGAGAGAGAUAGAGAGAGAGCAAUAUGAAAAGGACACUAAGGAAAGGCUAUUAG
rnacentral:lncRNA from 1 species